GGUUCGAUUAUGGCUCAGAUUGAACGCUGGCGGGAUGCUUUACACAUGCAAGUCGAACGGCAGCACGGACUUCGGUCUGGUGGCGAGUGGCGAACGGGUGAGUAAUGUAUCGGAACGUGCUAGUAGCGGGGGAUAACUACGCGAAAGCGUAGCUAAUACCACAUACGCCCUUCGGGGGAAAGCGGGGGGACCUUCGGGCCUCGCACUAUUAGAGCGGCGAUAUCGGAUUAGCUAGUUGGUGGGGUAACGGCUCACCAAGGCGACGAUCCGUAGCUGGUUUGAGAGGACGACCAGCCACGCACCGGGACUGAGACACGGCCCAGACUCCUACGGGAGGCAGCAGUGGGGAAUUUUUGGACAAUGGGAAACCCUGAUCAAGCCUUACGCGUGUGCGAUGAAGGCCUUCGGGUUGUAAGCACUUUUGGCAGGGAGGAAAGAAACGGCACGGGAUAAUACCCCGUGCAACUGACCGGUACCUGCAGAAUAAGCGCCAUGCUUCACGUGCCAGCAGCCGCGGUAAUGUAGGGUGCAAGCGUUAAUCAGUCACCUGGGCGUAAAGCGUGCGCAGGCGGUUCGGAAAGAAAGAUGUGAAAUCCAGAGCUUAACUUUGGAACUGCAUUUUUAACUACCGAGCUAGAGUGUGUCAGAGGGAGGUGGAAUUCCGCGAUGUAACGGUGAAAUGCGUAGAUAUGCGGAGGAACACCGAUGGCGAAGGCAACCUCCUGGGAUAACACUGACGCUCAUGCACAGAAAGCGUGGGGAGCAAACAGGAUUAGAUGCCCUGGUAGUCACGCCCUAAACGAUGUGUUAGCUGUUGGGGCACCGGCAACUUUGGCAGCGCGUUAGCGUGAGGUGAUUUAUCUACGAUGCGUUGCAAGUUAAAACUUUCAA
rnacentral:misc_RNA from 1 species